rnacentral:rRNA from 1 species
UACGGAGGGGGCUAGCGUUGUUCGGAAUUACUGGGCGUAAAGCGCACGUAGGCGGCUUCGCAAGUCAGGGGUGAAAGCCCGGGGCUCAACCCCGGAACUGCCUGUGAGACUGCGUCGCUUGAAUCCGGGAGAGGCGGGUGGAAUUCCUGGUGUAGAGGUGAAAUUCGUAGAUAUUCGGAAGAACACCGGUGGCGAAGGCGGCCCGCUGGGCCGGUACUGACGCUGAGGUGCGAAAGCGUGGGUAGCAAACAGG